AUUGAACGCUGGCGGCAUGCCUUACACAUGCAAGUCGAACGGUAACGGGCCUUCGGGUGCCGACGAGUGGCGAACGGGUGAGUAAUACAUCGGAACGUGCCCGAUCGUGGGGGAUAACGAGGCGAAAGCUUUGCUAAUACCGCAUACGAUCUACGGAUGAAAGCAGGGGACCGCAAGGCCUUGCGCGGACGGAGCGGCCGAUGGCAGAUUAGGUAGUUGGUGGGAUAAAAGCUUACCAAGCCGACGAUCUGUAGCUGGUCUGAGAGGAUGAUCAGCCACACUGGGACUGAGACACGGCCCAGACUCCUACGGGAGGCAGCAGUGGGGAAUUUUGGACAAUGGGCGCUAGCCUGAUCCAGCCAUGCCGCGUGCAGGAUGAAGGCCUUCGGGUUGUAAACUGCUUUUGUACGGAACGAAAAGCCUUCUUUUAAUACAGGAGGGUCAUGACGGUACCGUAAGAAUAAGCACCGGCUAACUACGUG
rnacentral:rRNA from 1 species